rnacentral:rRNA from 1 species
UACGUAGGCAGCAAGCGUUGUUCGGAGUUACUGGGCGUAAAGGGGUGUGUAGGCGGUUCUUUAAGUUUGGUGUGAAAUCUCCCGGCUCAACUGGGAGGGUGCGCCGAAUACUGAGGGACUAGAGCACGGGAGAGGAAAGUGGAAUUCCUGGUGUAGCGGUGAAAUGCGUAGAUAUCAGGAGGAACACCUGUGGUGUAGACAGCUUUCUGGACCAUUGCUGACGCUGAGACACGAAAGCGUGGGUAGCAAACAGG